rnacentral:rRNA from 1 species
AAUUUUGCGCAAUGGGCGAAAGCCUGACGCAGCAACGCCGCGUGGGGGAUGAAGGCUCUUGGGUCGUAAACCCCUUUUGCCGGGGAAGAUCGUGACGGUACCCGGCGAAUAAGCCACGGCUAACUACGUGCCAGCAGCCGCGGUAAUACGUAGGUGGCAAGCGUUGUCCGGAUUUAUUGGGCGUAAAGAGCGCGCAGGCGGUUCGCAUAGUCCGAGGUGAAAUCUCCCGGCUCAACUGGGAGGGGUCUUCGGAUACUGGCGGGCUUGAGGAGAGCAGAGGUGAGCGGAAUUCUCGGUGUAGUGGUGAAAUGCGUAGAUAUCGAGAGGAACACCAGCGGCGAAGGCGGCUCACUGGGCUCCACCCGACGCUGAGGCGCGAAAGCGUGGGGAGCGAACCGGAUUAGAUACCCGGGUAGUCCACGCUGUAAACGAUGGGCACUAGGUGUGGGAGGUAUUCGACCCCUUCCGUGCCGUCGCUAACGCAUUAAGUCGCCCCGCCGUGGGGAGUACGGCCGCAAGGACUA